GUUCACCCCCCUUCCUUUCCCAUGGAGAGUCUGUUGCACGAUGGAACGAAACAGAGCAGUGGGCAGGUUGAGGCUGUUGCCUUAACAUGCGGGAUGUUUCAGAAGGCUUCCAUAUCUAAAACAGUGCAUACGCUUUGAAAACAGGGCUACAGCCAAGGAAUCAGGGUUUUGCUGUGUCAGCAAACAAUACAGAGAGACAACAGUAAGUGAUCAAAACAGCAAGUUUAUUGACAGGAGGAGCAGCAGGAUAAAAGGCAACAGUCCGAGGUUGAGUAAUAUGGAGAAUUAAAAGUUUCAGGUCUCUUAGCUGUAGAUAAUGGGGAAUUGUCUCUUGCAGGUGAUCUAGAGGAGCAGUGGAGAACUGGUAUUAUACAAAUAUUUUAAUAUGCAUCUGUAAGUAAGAAAAAAA
ensembl:lncRNA